rnacentral:rRNA from 1 species
CCUACGGGGGGCUGCAGUGGGGAAUAUUGGACAAUGGGCGAAAGCCUGAUCCAGCCAUGCCGCGUGUGUGAAGAAGGCUUUCGGGUUGUAAAGCACUUUCAGUGGGGAAGAAAGCCUUGGGGCUAAUACCCUCGAGGAAGGACAUCACCCACAGAAGAAGCACCGGCUAACUCCGUGCCAGCAGCCGCGGUAAUACGGAGGGUGCGAGCGUUAAUCGGAAUUACUGGGCGUAAAGCGCGCGUAGGCGGUCUGAUAAGCCGGUUGUGAAAGCCCCGGGCUCAACCUGGGAACGGCAUCCGGAACUGUCAGGCUAGAGUGCAGGAGAGGAAGGUAGAAUUCCCGGUGUAGCGGUGAAAUGCGUAGAGAUCGGGAGGAAUACCAGUGGCGAAGGCGGCCUUCUGGACUGACACUGACGCUGAGGUGCGAAAGCGUGGGUAGCAAACAGGAUUAGAUACCCCAGUAGUC